rnacentral:misc_RNA from 1 species
CAGAGUUCAUGCCCUUUUGGGUAGACCUCCCACCCUUUGUAUACUUACCAUUGUUGCUUUGGCGGGUCGCCCGCAAGGCCAGCGGCUUCGGCUGCUGCGUGCCCGCCAGAGAACCCAAAACUAUGAAGUUUAAGUGUCGUCUGAGUACUAUAUAAUAGUUA